rnacentral:misc_RNA from 1 species
AGAUGUCAACGAUGAGAAGUUUGUUGGUGAUGAAUUAUAGAGUG